rnacentral:rRNA from 1 species
CCUACGGGAGGCUGCAGUGGGGAAUAUUGCACAAUGGGGGAAACCCUGAUGCAGCGACGCCGCGUGAGGGAAGAAGGAAUUAGGGAUGGAAAGCUCUAUCAGCAGGGAAGAAAAUGACGGUACCUGAGCAAGAAGCCCCGGCUAACUACGUGCCAGCAGCCGCGGUCAUACGUAGGGGGCAAGCGUUAUCCGGAUUUACUGGGUGUACAGGGAGCGUAGACGGCAGUGAAAGUCUGGAGUGAAAGGCGGGGGCUCAACCCCCGGACUGCUCUGGAAACUGUACGGCUUGAGUGCAGGAGGGGUAAGUGGAAUUCCUAGUGUAGCGGUGAAAUGCGUAGAUAUUAGGAGGAACACCAGUGGCGAAGGCGGCUUACUGGACUGUAACUGACGUUGAGGCUCGAAAGCGUGGGUAGCAAACAGGAUUAGAUACCCUUGUAGUC